GAUGAAGAACGCAGCGAAAUGCGAUAAUUAAUGUGAAUUGCAGAAUUCCGUGAAUCAUCGAGUCUUUGAACGCACAUUGCGCCUCAUGGCAUUCCGUGAGGCAUGCCCAUCUCAGCGUUAGAAAAUAUUCUCAAAUUUUAGUUUUGUGCUAAAAUUUGGAUCAUGUCAAAGAAGCUAUUACUAUUAUUGUGAUCGCUCUUUGGAAAUUGAUAGGUCUUUGAGUUGCUACUCAUAGAACGUGAUGAAUCUUUCUUCGUUCUAUUGUAAUUCACUCUGGUAGUCCUAAAACUUGUAUGCCUGUAGUAUAUCUUGUAAUUUGACCUGAGAUUGGGUAGGGAUACCCGCUGAACUUAAGCAUAUCAAUAAGCGGAGGA
rnacentral:misc_RNA from 1 species